GCCCGGCUGGCCCAGUCGGCAGAGCGCGCGACUCUGGAUCUCAGGGUGGUGAGUUCGAGCCCCACGUUGGGCG
rnacentral:tRNA from 1 species